UGAACGCUGGCGGAAUGCUUUACACAUGCAAGUCGAACGGUAGAGGGGGCAACCCCUUGAGAGUGGCGAACGGGUGAGUAAUGUAUCGGAACGUGCCCAGUCGUGGGGGAUAACGUAGUGAAAACUACGCUAAUACCGCAUACGAUCUAUGGAUGAAAGCGGGGGAUCGCAAGACCUCGCGCGAUUGGAGCGGCCGAUAUCAGAUUAGGUAGUUGGUGGGGUAAAGGCUCACCAAGCCAACGAUCUGUAGCUGGUCUGAGAGGACGACCAGCCACACUGGAACUGAGACACGGUCCAGACUCCUACGGGAGGCAGCAGUGGGGAAUUUUGGACAAUGGACGCAAGUCUGAUCCAGCCAUUCCGCGUGCAGGACGAAGGCCUUCGGGUUGUAAACUGCUUUUGUACGGAACGAAAAAGCUCUUAUUAAUACUAGGAGUCCAUGACGGUACCGUAAGAAUAAGCACCGGCUAACUACGUGCCAGCAGCCGCGGUAAUACGUAGGGUGCAAGCGUUAAUCGGAAUUACUGGGCGUAAAGCGUGCGCAGGCGGUUAUAUAAGACAGAUGUGAAAUCCCCGACUUAACUUGGGAACUGCAUUUGUGACUGCAUAGCUAGAGUACGGCAGAAGGGGAUGGAAUUUCGCGUGUAGCAGUGAAAUGCGUAGAUAUGCCGAGGACACGAUGGCGAAGGCAAUCCCCUGGGCUGUACUGACGCUCAUGCACGAAAGCGUGGGAGCAAACAGGAUUAGAUACCUGUAGUCACGCCUUAACGAUGUCAACUGGUUGUG
rnacentral:rRNA from 1 species